AUUGAACGCUGGCGGCAGGCCUAACACAUGCAAGUCGAACGAGAGGCGGACGGGUGAGUAAUGUCUGGGAAACUGCCUGAUGGAGGGGGAUAACUACUGGAAACGGUAGCUAAUACCGCAUACCAUCAGAUGUGCCCAGAUGGGAUUAGCUAGUAGGUGGGGUAACGGCUCACCUAGGCGACGAUCCCUAGCUGGUCUGAGAGGCGGACCCGCCACACUGGAACGGAGACACGGUCCAGACCCCUACGGGAGGCAGCAGUGGGGAAUAUUGCACAAUGGGCGCAAGCCUGAUGCAGCCAUGCCGCGUGUAGGAAGAAGGCCUUCGGGUUGUAAAGUACUUUCAGCGGGGAGGCGUUACCCGCAGAAGAAGCACCGGCUAACUCCGUGCCAGCAGCCGCGGUAAUAC
rnacentral:rRNA from 1 species